rnacentral:rRNA from 1 species
CUUACACAUGCAAGUCGAACGGCAGCACGGGUGCUUGCACCUGGUGGCGAGUGGCGAACGGGUGAGUAAUACAUCGGAACAUGUCCUGUAGUGGGGGAUAGCCCGGCGAAAGCCGGAUUAAUACCGCAUACGGUCUACGGAUGAAAGCGGGGGACCUUCGGGCCUCGCGCUAUAGGGUUGGCCGAUGGCUGAUUAGCUAGUUGGUGGGGUAAAGGCCUACCAAGGCGACGAUCAGUAGCUGGUCUGAGAGGACGACCAGCCACACUGGGACUGAGACACGGCCCAGACUCCUACGGGAGGCAGCAGUGGGGAAUUUUGGACAAUGGGCGAAAGCCUGAUCCAGCAAUGCCGCGUGUGUGAAGAAGGCCUUCGGGUUGUAAAGCACUUUUGUCCGGAAAGAAAUCCUUGGUUCUAAUAUAGCCGGGGGAUGACGGUACCGGAAGAAUAAGCACCGGCUAACUACGUGCCAGCAGCCGCGGUAAUACGUAGGGUGCGAGCGUUAAUCGGAAUUACUGGGCGUAAAGCGUGCGCAGGCGGUUUGCUAAGACCGAUGUGAAAUCCCCGGGCUCAACCUGGGAACUGCAUUGGUGACUGGCAGGCUAGAGUAUGGCAGAGGGGGGUAGAAUUCCACGUGUAGCAGUGAAAUGCGUAGAGAUGUGGAGGAAUACCGAUGGCGAAGGCAGCCUCCUGGGCCAAUACUGACGCUCAUGCA